GACGAACGCUGGCGGCGUGCUUAACACAUGCAAGUCGAACGGAAAGGCCCUGCUUGCAGGGUACUCGAGUGGCGAACGGGUGAGUAACACGUGGGUGAUCUGCCCUGCACUUCGGGAUAAGCCUGGGAAACUGGGUCUAAUACCGGAUAGGAGCCAUUUUUAGUGUGAUGGUUGGAAAGUUUUUUCGGUGUAGGAUGAGCUCGCGGCCUAUCAGCUUGUUGGUGGGGUAAUGGCCUACCAAGGCGGGGACGGGUAGCCGGCCUGAGAGGGUGGACGGCCACAUUGGGACUGAGAUACGGCCCAGACUCCUACGGGAGGCAGCAGUGGGGAAUAUUGCACAAUGGGCGCAAGCCUGAUGCAGCGACGCCGCGUGGGGGAUGACGGCCUUCGGGUUGUAAACUCCUUUCGCUAGGGACGAAGCUUUUUGUGACGGUACCUAGAGAAGAAGCACCGGCUAACUACGUG
rnacentral:rRNA from 1 species